UACGUAGGGACCAAGCGUUGUUCGGAUUUACUGGGCGUAAAGGGCGCGUAGGCGGCUUGACAAGUCACUUGUGAAAUCUCUGGGCUUAACCCAGAACGGCCAAGUGAAACUGUCGAGCUAGAGUGUAGAAGGGGCAAUCGGAAUUCUUGGUGUAGCGGUGAAAUGCGUAGAUAUCAAGAGGAACACCUGAGGUGAAGACGGGUUGCUGGUCUAACACUGACGCUGAGGCGCGAAAGCUAGGGGAGCAAACAGG
rnacentral:rRNA from 1 species